AUUGAACGCUGGCGGAAUGCUUUACACAUGCAAGUCGAACGGCAGCACGGACUUCGAUCUGGUGGCGAGUGGCGCACGGGUGAGUAAUGUAUCGGAACGUGCCCAGUCGCGGGGGAUAACGCAGUGAAAAUUACGCUAAUACCGCAUACGAUCUAGGGAUGAAAGCGGGGGAUCGCAAGACCUCGCCCGAUUGGCGCGGCCAAAAUCAGAUUAGGUAGUUGGUGGGGUAAAGGCCCACCAAGCCAACGAUCUGUCGCUGGUCUGAGAGGACGACCAGCCACACUGGAACUGAGACACGGUCCAGACUCCUACGGGAGGCAGCAGUGGGGAAUUUUGGACAAUGGGCGAAAGCCUGAUCCAGCCAUUCCGCGUGCAGGAUGAAGGCCCUCGGGUUGUAAACUGCUUUUGUACAGAACGAAAAGGUUUCUACUAAUACUAGGAGCUCAUGACGGUACUGUAAGAAUAAGCACCGGCUAACUACGUGCCAGCAGCCGCCGUAA
rnacentral:rRNA from 1 species